AGAGUUUGAUCCUGGCUCAGGAUGAACGCUGGCGGCGUGCUUAACACAUGCAAGUCGAACGAAGCACUUUACCUGAUUUCCUUCGGGGAUGAUUGUUCUGUGACUGAGUGGCGGACGGGUGAGUAACGCGUGGAUAACCUGCCUCACACAGGGGGAUAACAGUUGGAAACGACUGCUAAUACCGCAUAAGCGCACAGCACCGCAUGGUGCAGUGUGAAAAACUCCGGUGGUGUGAGAUGGAUCCGCGUCUGAUUAGCUGGUUGGCGGGGUAACGGCCCACCAAGGCGACGAUCAGUAGCCGGCCUGAGAGGGCGACCGGCCACAUUGGGACUGAGACACGGCCCAGACUCCUACGGGAGGCAGCAGUGGGGAAUAUUGCACAAUGGGGGAAACCCUGAUGCAGCGACGCCGCGUGAGCGAUGAAGUAUUUCGGUAUGUAAAGCUCUAUCAGCAGGGAAGAUAAUGACGGUACCUGACUAAGAAGCUCCGGCUAAAUACGUGCCAGCAGCCGCGGU
rnacentral:rRNA from 1 species